rnacentral:rRNA from 1 species
UACGGGGGGAGCAAGCGUUGUUCGGAUUUACUGGGCGUAAAGGGAGCGUAGGUGGUUAGGUAAGCCCUCCGGGAAAUCUUCAGGCUUAACCUGAAAAGGUCGGGGGGGACUGCCUGGCUAGAGGACGGGAGAGGAGCGCGGAAUUCCCGGUGUAGCGGUGAAAUGCGUAGAGAUCGGGAGGAAGGCCGGUGGCGAAGGCGGCGCUCUGGAACGUUUCUGACACUGAGGCUCGAAAGCGUGGGGAGCAAACAGG